rnacentral:rRNA from 1 species
AUUGAACGCUGGCGGCAGGCCUAACACAUGCAAGUCGAGCGGGGUUUUCGGACCUAGCGGCGGACGGGUGAGUAAUGCGUAGGAAGCUACCCGAUAGAGGGGGAUACCAGUUGGAAACGACUGUUAAUACCGCAUAAUGUCUACGGACCAAAGUGUGGGACCUUCGGGCCACAUGCUAUCGGAUGCGCCUACGUGGGAUUAGCUAGUUGGUGGGGUAAUGGCUCACCAAGGCGACGAUCCCUAGCUGGUUUGAGAGGAGCAUCAGCCACACUGGAACUGGGACACGGUCCAGACUCCUACGGGAGGCAGCAGUGGGGAAUAUUGGACAAUGGGCGCAAGCCUGAUCCAGCCAUGCCGCGUGUGUGAAGAAGGCCUUCGGGUUGUAAAGCACUUUCAGUAGGGAGGAAGGGUGUUGUGUUAAUAGCACAGCAUUUUGACGUUACCUACAGAAGAAGCACCGGCUAACUCUGUGCCAGCAGCCGCCGUAAUAC